UAUAUGUAGAAAGCUGAAACUGGAUCCCUUUCUUACAAAAAGGCCCAGAAAUAAACCCUCACAUAUAUGGUAAAAUGAUUUUUGACAAGGGUGCCAAGACCAUUCAAUGGGGAAAGGACCAUCUUUUCAACAAACGGUCCUGAUAUAUAUAUAUGCAAUGGAAUAUUAUUCAGCCAUAAAAAGGAAAUUAUGACAGAUGGACUACAUCUUUCACUUUGCCACUCAGAGUUCAGGCCUGGCCAAGUUUUAACAAAAGGGAAUGUAGUCUUUGGCAUCUUUUGUUCAAGCGCUUUGGGUUCCACGGUAGAAAAGGAAAUAUCUUCGUAUAAAAACUAGAGAGAAUCAUUCUCAGAAAGUGUAUACUUAUCUUCAAAGACAUCAAGUUGUAUACAUUAAAUUUCUACAGGUUUUUGUAUGUCAGUCAUACCUUAAUAAAGGACUUAAAAAUAAUUUUUAAAAUACAUACAUAAUAUAUGUGUAUAUAUAAAAUAAAUGUAAAAUUCUCAUAAUGUAUAUGAAUACAUAUGUGCAUAUAAUGUACAUC
rnacentral:lncRNA from 1 species